UACGUAGGGGGCAAGCGUUGUCCGGAUUUAUUGGGCGUAAAGAGCGUGUAGGCGGCCAGACAGGUCAGCUGUGAAAACUCGAGGCUCAACCUCGAGACGUCGGUUGAAACCGUCUGGCUAGAGUCCGGAAGAGGAGAGUGGAAUUCUGUGUGGAGCGGUGAAAUGCGUUGAUCUACAGAGGAACACCAAAAAAGGCGAAGGCAGUCAACUAUUCUGUUCCUGACAUUGAGGCAUGAAAGCGUGGGGAGCAAACCGG
rnacentral:rRNA from 1 species